UACGGAGGGUGCGAGCGUUGUCCGGAUUUAUUGGGCGUAAAGGGCGCGUAGGCGGCCUGCUAAGUCGGACGUGAAAUCCCUCGGCUCAACCGGGGAACUGCGUCCGAUACUGGUGGGCUCGAAUCCGGGAGAGGGAUGUGGAAUUCCAGGUGUAGCGGUGAAAUGCGUAGAUAUCUGGAGGAACACCGGUGGCGAAGGCGGCAUCCUGGACCGGUAUUGACGCUGAGGCGCGAAAGCCAGGGGAGCAAACGGG
rnacentral:rRNA from 1 species